rnacentral:tRNA from 1 species
UGGGCCCUAAAAAGUUCUGCAGGCA